UAUAUAUAUAUAUAUAUAUAUAUAUAUAUAUAUAUAUAUAUAUAUACACACACACACACACACACACAGUAAACCCUCACUAUAUCGGAUUAAUUUGUGGAAUCCCUUGUUGAAAUAUUCGAAAAUCCGAAAAAUCCGGCUGCCCACCUCAUAUAGUGGUGAGCGUCCGAUGUAUCUAUGUGUUUAUAUAUAUAUAUAUAUAUAUAUAUAUAUAUAUAUAUAUAUAUAUAUAUAUAUAUAUAUAUAUAUAUAUAUAUAUAUAUAUAUAUAUAUAUAAAGAAAUUGGUUGCUAUAUGGAGCCUAUUAUACACAUACAAGUAUGUACUAUGCAUGACAAGGCACAAAUCACAAAUAAGGCAAGUGAGGGUCACAAAAAUUACUGUAGUUGUGAUCGGUAAGGCGGCACCAUGCAGACUGAGUCACCCCUGUGUGUGGGGGAUGCGUGGUGUUGGGUAUGUGGGUGCCCAGUCGGUGGGAAAAUGUACUGGACACUUGCCACUUAUAUUGCCGCCCAUCUAGACAAACUCAAUCCGAUGGCUAUAUAGCGUCUGAAAUAGCCGAUAUCCGACUUGUAAGUUUCCAAUAUAGUGAGGGUUUGAUAUAUAUAUGUAUAUAUAUAUAUAUAUAUAUAUAUAUAUAUAUAUAUAUAUAUAUAUAUAUAUAUAUAUAUAUAUAAAUAUAUAAUUCUAUAAAGAAUACAAAUUUCAGGUAAUAAAUCUAAACUCGCUAUUGCAUUCUAUUAACAACUAAUCCGACAAAAUAUAUAAAUGGAAUAAGGAAUAUGAAGAAAUCUGAGCAUUUGAUAAAGAGAAAGAAGUCUGAGAGCUUAUCACAUGUAAUUAAGCUUGGUAUCAUCAACUGUAUGCCUCAUUACUGUGAAAACCAAUCAAAGAUAUGCGGUAUGCUAGUGGUGUUUUUCACAAUGAGUGCAUAAAACAAAAGCAGAUUUCAAGAGAUUGACUGCUAAACAUUUAAUGGAAAAUUAUCCUCAAAAAAAUCCAAGCAGAUUUCUCUUAACUGAAUCUUUAUUACAAGUGCAUUGUUAAUUAUAAAUUUACAGGCAUUAGGACCAAUAUCAACUGGUGAUAAGAUUCACUUCAUAGUAUAUCUCAUGGUGGCUCUCAAGCUUAAUUAACUGCAUGUUGAAGUGCCAUGAAUAUUGGUACAGAUUUGAUUUUCCAAGGAAACCAAAUUCAACAGCAAUAACAGGAAUAAUUUCCUAAAAGUCCUCACCCUGCUGGGUGCGAUAUCUACGUCAGGGUGAGGUCACUGAAGGAGCUACUUGGUGCUGCUACAAUCUACACAAGGCAAAGAUAAAAUGCUGGGGCCAUAUGAAAAGGCUGCUGCACAACACCAAAGACAUGAACAAGACAUACACUUGGCAGGAGUUGAUCCCUGAAGUCUUAUUGAGUUGAGGUUGAGGUUCAAAUUGAGGAACGUAGGUCGAGCUGUAAAACCAAUCCAGGUUAGUUCACCCUUUGCAUCCUGACAUGCUGCUACCAUUGUAGAUAAACUGGACUCUACUGGUUAUUAUUUUAGUAAGUGUUAGAACCCAUGUCAAUCACUAGUUGCUGUAAGCACACCUAGUUACUGAUAGCUGUUUAACCUGAAGAGUUUUUUAUGUUUCUUUUAUUUGCUGACAUUUUCCAGUAUGAAAUUUUCUUGAGUGACAUGACAAAUAAAGGACUUUUAUUUUAUUUCAUAUUUCUGAUUAAAAAGUCAUGCACUUUUAUUAAUUUCUGAUGAAUUGCCAAGGGAGAUGGAGGCAUUGCUAUAACACUGGCACUCCCUGCAAUUUACCACCACUGCAAAGAUAUUUGAUUAUUACUUUGAACAUUUAAGCUUUGUAAGUAUACAUAGUGUGGAUUAAGAUUUCAACUUAUGAUCUUGUAAAUCUAAUAAAGAAUUACUUUAAUCAUUAUCUACAAAGCAGUCUUUACUAUUUUGAUUAUUAAGCUGAUGAAUUUCUACAAGCUAUCUAAAAGCUUCUUACCUAUUAAAUAUACCAAGAGAAGCUGCAGCAUAGAAUUGUUUCUAGACUUAGCACUUAUGAAUAUGUUCAGAAAAUGAACUACGUACUAAAUAUAAUUUUGAUCUGUAACUAUAAUUAACUUUCAAAGCUAGUUCAUGGGCAUAUAUAUAUAUAUAUUAAACAUUUUCUAUAUCAAUUACAUUAUACAAAAUUAAUGGACAGUGAAAGUAUGUAAUGUAUAUAUGACAGGGUGAAGGUUUUGUAGUCCAUCUGUCCAAUUUUAUUGCCUAUUAACAAGUACAAAAAGUAAGUUAUAACUUUAGCUGUAGCAUGGCAUAGCACUGAUUUUCCUUGAGGAGAAUUACUACUUAAUAUCAGUAAACUAAAUCAAUUUAACAAUGAACAUUGUGCAAAUAUAGCACUGGGUAAUUAUAUAACUUGGGGUUCAUCAAAAAAUAAUAAAAGUUAUUCUAGCAGUGUAAAAUUUCCAGUUCCUCCAUUUUUUCUCCUAAGGCUCAAGACCUAUCAAUGAAAUGAGAGACAUGGAAAAGGUAGUGUAUGCAAACAGGCAUGUUGGGCUGUCAAGGGAUGGCUGAUGGUUACUGAGCUGAGGAAGAAUUUACAUCUGCACAUGAAAAUUUACAACCACAAUUUUUCAUGUUUUCUAAAGCAGGAAGACCUGGAUUGAAUGAGAUGGAAGUAACCUUGCUAUACUUGGUACCAAGGUAAAAUGUUGGAGCUGCAACUUCUAGUAUAGAUAGUUAACAUUUACCAUUCCUCUCAGCUCUAUGUCAAAAGUUCCCACUUGCUCCUGUCCACAUACUUCAACCUUGCAUUGUCUAGUUCUCUCACUUUCUGUAUCAUCUUUAACAAGUACUCUGGCACCUAUAGCCAUAUGUUAGGAAAAAAUAAAACUUGCUCAACACUUAAAGUUAGCAAGUCAUUUAUCAUAAAUAUAUGUACGUGCGGACAAAUUCAGCACUUUGUUUCUAAGAACUUCAUCUGCCUGUCUUGAAUUUUUUAACUCUUUUACUUUAACAAAAGUUAUUGUCUCCAUGAUGUCCCCCCCACCACAAAAAAAAAAAAAAGAAAAGAAAAGAAAAGAAAGAUUUUACCGUUUCCAGAACACUGUAAUUAGACUAAAGUAAAUUUUAAUUAUGAUUAAGGAUAUUUCAACCAAUUUAUAUAUCAUCUUUUAUGUUUGAGGUAAAUCAUACAAUAUUUAAGUGAAAAGAAAAAAAAAAAUUAUCAGUACAUAAUGCUUUCCUUUAAACGAAACUAAUUUAAUUUAUGGGAUAGCUUAUGAUGUCUUAUGUUCUUUCUUGCUUUACCAUACUUAAUUCAUGUUAUGUUCUGCUUGUGUUUUUCAGUAUACUUUAUCUUCUACACCAUCUUAUUACAGCAACUGAGCCAAAUCAAACUUGGGUGAUCAAGUAUCUUGGUUGAUGCCAACAAUAAUUGAGCCUUUUCAGCCACUACAGCGAGUCACUGAGCUGGCAGCCAAUAUUUAGUUUAAAACUUCUACAUUGUCUGGGCUUUCCUCAAAAACCUUCUCUUAGUUUUAAGAGAACAAGAACUGCCUGACAAAUAAUAGUAAUCCAAGUUUUAAUGUGUAAGUAGUAGCUUUGAAGAAAGAGACUGCAUUUUCCAUGUUACAUAUUACUAAAUUAAGAUAGACCUCUACUUUAUAUUAUCAUUUGUUAAGAUUAGAUUACAUUUAUGAAAGAUUAGUUCUGCAGUUUCCCUAAUAUAUAUAAUACAUGAAAAUUAAGUUACUAUACAUACUUAUUUUUGUAUAUUGAUAUAUAAUGUAUUGAUUGUAUAUAGAGAUAAAUUUCCUCUUAAGAUUCAGUACUAUCAUCAAAAUAUCUUAUCUUCAACAACAAUUCUCAUCUUUGUUUGCCUUCUCAUAUUAUUAUUUAUCAUAUCCAUGAUUAAGUGAAGUUCCUGGCAACAUUUAAGCUGUAAAGCACAGAACUUACACUUAAGUUUUAUGAAAUGUUUUCUAAAUGCUGUAGGCCAGCCAUGUAUUAUAUAUAACUUUACUAUAACAAUAAAGACUGGGAUUGUC
rnacentral:lncRNA from 1 species